ACAGAACUAGGUGUUAGUAGGGAAUUGAAAUUUGAGAAGGUGAUCGAUCAGCUGAAUAGUAUUGAGGGGAAAAAGAAGAUUUUUCGUUUUUUAAAAAACACUGGGAUUUUUAAGAGAAUUUGAGGUGUAGGGGGUAGGAGUCAAUAGAGGGCAGUAGUGCAACGUAAAUGGAUGCAAGCUGCCGUUAAAAUCUAAAGAAGAAGAAGAAGAAGAAAUGGCAGACUUUGUGGACUAAGCACAUUUCAGCAGAAGUAGAGAAGUUACUACUCAUAAGUGCUGCUGUGAUACGAAAGAAAUCUGUUUAUUUUGAACUGGAUAAUGUACAUUCUAUUCUGAGAGUUCUCCGGUUGUUUUUGUUUUUUUUGGACGACCGAUACCUGAACGAGCCAGUGGUUCCAGAACCAGGAGGGUUCCGCCGCCAUCUUUGUGACUCGGACUGAAGCCUGGAAAGACGGAGGGCCUGGUGCUGCUGGAGCUGGAUGUUUUGCUUGGACAACAGAUAAGCUUAUUGAACAAAAAGGAGGGCCCCAAUCCUUUAAAAUUUUUUCAUUCCACAAACUAUUUGUUCAUGAACAUUUUCAAAACUGACAGCUUAUGUGCACAUUGACUGACUGAACUGUUAUAUUGAAGGACUAACUGGAAUAUGUAAUUUCUUUUGUUGAAAUGAGCUUUAAAGCUACUGUUUAGAAAACCU